GAGUUCAAUCCUGACUCAGGAUGAAUGCUGGUUGCGUGCUUAGCACAUGCAAGUCAGAUGGGAAGUGUUAUUUUCGUUGGCGGACGGAUGAGAAACAUAUAAGAACUUGUCGUUGGGAGGGGAACAACAACCGAAAAUGACUGCCAAUACCCUAUAGGCUGAGAGAAAAAGGAAGAAUCCGCCGGAGAAGGGGCUUGCAUCCGGUUAACUAGUUGGUGAGGUAAUAGCUUACCAAGUCGAUAAUCAGUAGCUGCUUCGACGGGUUAAUCAAUCAUAUGGCAUAGACUCCUACGGUAAAAGGAAAAGAAUUGAAGUCCGUAAAAUAAACAUUAGAGGGUAAAGGAAAAUAAGGAACUUGUACCAACAUAACCGCCAAGAUUCUGAGAUCUUUGGGAAUAUAGUCGCCUUUGAUAGGAAGUGUUUUACUUAAAAGUAGAAUAUUCUAGCACGAACC
rnacentral:ncRNA from 1 species